rnacentral:rRNA from 1 species
AACAGACUCCUACGGGAGGCAGCAGUGGGGGAUAUUGGACAAUGGGGGGAACACUGAUCCAGCGACGCCGCGUGAGUGAAGAAGUAUCUCGGUAUGUAAAGCUCUAUCAGCAGGGAAGAAAGAAAUGACGGUACCUGAGUAAGAAGCCCCGGCUAACUACGUGCCAGCAGCCGCGGUAAUACGUAGGGGGCAAGCGUUAUCCGGAAUUACUGGGUGUAAAGGGAGCGUAGACGGUGAAGUAAGUCUGGAGUGAAAGGCGGGGGCCCAACCCCCGGUCUGCUCUGGAAACUAUUUGACUGGAGUGCAGGAGAGGUAUGCGGUAUGCCUAGUGUAGCUGUGAAAUGCGUAUAUAUUAGGAGGAACACCAGUGGCGAAGGCGGCUUACUGGACUGUAACUGACGUUGAGGCUCGAACGCGUGGGGAGCACACAGGAUUAGAUACCCCCGUAG